rnacentral:misc_RNA from 1 species
GUGUUCGGAUUGCGGCGACGUGAGCGGUUCGCCGCCCGCGACGUCGCAAGAAGUCCACUGAACCUUAUCAUUUAGAGGAAGGAGAAGUCGUAACAAGGUUUCCGUAGGUGAACCUGCGGAAGGAUCAUUGUCGAAUCCUGCAAGCAACCGCGAACACGUUCUAAAAACCCACGGGGCGCGGGCGGACUCGCGUCUGCCGGCCCCGGACUAAACAAAACUUCCGGCGCGGAAAGCGCCAAGGACUACUAAAAUGGAUCGUUCGCGUCUCCCGGCGGCUUCCGCCGGACGGGCGCGCGCGUCUGAAUCGUAACCAAUACGACUCUCGGCAACGGAUAUCUAGGCUCUCGCAUCGAUGAAGAACGUAGCGAAAUGCGAUACUUGGUGUGAAUUGCAGAAUCCCGUGAACCAUCGAGUUUUUGAACGCAAGUUGCGCCCGAAGCCAUCCGGCGAGGGCACGUCUGCCUGGGCGUCACGCACCGUCGCCACCCUCCCCACAGCUCCCGCGCUUAGGGACGGGUGACGGAUGUUGGCCUCCCGUGACCCUGGCGUCGCGGCCGGCCUAAAUCGUAGUCCUCCCCUCGGGACGUCACGGCAAGUGGUGGUUGGAAUCAUUUCUUACCUCGUUCCGAACCGUGGCCCAUACCGUUGCGGAGUGCUAUUAGACCCUGAGCCCUCGGGCUAUCGACCAUGACCC